ensembl:lncRNA
UCACAACUCCACAGAACAAAUAUAUGAAAACUCCUUCCAGAAAUGCACUUAGUAGGUUCCCAAAGGACGCCUGCGAUGCAGUCAUCUCUUUUUUUCAUUUUCUCAUGGCGUCUCUGGGUUGCUUCCUCAGAUGCCUUUGGAAAGUGAUUGAGGUCAUCAUGCUGAAUCACACUCUUUUUCCUCUUGUAGCAACCAGAACCAGUAUUGUUGGCUGAAGCACCUGAAGAUCCUUGAAGAUGGCGUUGGGUUUCUUCAUUUGGACACCCACUGCAUUACAUAUAACUGGGAAAUCAACAUCAUGUCUUCCUCUAGUUGAUUCUUCCACAUUAGUGUUGAGCUCAAUAACAUGAGGGAGCUGGUGCUUCAGCUGUCAGAGAGAAUCAUGGGAUAUCCUGCCAAGUGGUGUAAAGCUCUAGGGAUGUGUCAUUAGAGACCUCAUCUACAUUUGUGGCGGAGAUGAGAGUCAAUCUGACCUGCAUCCCUGUACUUGGUUAAUAAUGAGUCACGGAUGUUGUCAGACCACAUCACUGACGACACACACAGCUAUAAAUGGACAGUGAGUGAAGCCGAACUCUGAACUCCUC